AAUUUCAAAAGGGAUAAUUUUAUUUAUUUUUUAAAAAUUUUCAGCUACACCUGUGGCAUACAGGUUCCCAGGUCAGGGAUCAAGUCCAAGCUGGAGCUGUGAUCUACACAACAGCCAUGGCAACACCAAAUCCUUAACCCACUUUGUGGCUGGGGAUUGAACCAAUGCCUCCACAGAGACAAGCUGGAUCAUUAACCCAAUGAGCCACAGUGGGAACUCCCAAAAGGGAUAAUUUUAUAAUUGUGAUAAGCAAUAAAAGUAUCAUAUAAUUAUACAAAUACUUAUACAUAGAUGAAAAAGAUUUUUAAAACAUAUUGAGAUCAACUAUAAAGCAUAGAUUUCACCUCAUAAAUUUAACAUUAUCAGAUAUAAAAUUGUUUUGUCUAUAGUUUCAUUUUUAACAUUUAAGUCUUUAAUCUGUUUGACUAAUUUAUGAUAAAUUGAUACAAUGAAAGAUGCACAUUGACAAAAAGAUGCUAACUGAAUAUAUACAAUUAAAAAAUAUUUUAUGAGCCUCUACAUACCAUGUACCACCUACCAUGAACCAUAGUUCUAAGCAAUGAGGUGGGUGCAAAUAAGACUGAAAGGUUUUUGCUCUCAGGAGCUUAUGUUAUGAGGGGAGAUAGACAAUAAUCAUUUUAAACAACUUUUUAAAAGAGUUCCCUGGCGGCUCAGCUGGUGAAGCAUCUGGUAUUGUCAUUGCUGUAGCCCAGGUCUGAACCCUGGCCUGGGAACUUCUGCACUCCACAGUCAGGGCAAAAAAAAAAAGAAAAAAAAAGUUAAAACCAGGGCGAUAUGAUAGAGAUUAAUUUGAGUGUGAGAGAAGCAACAAUAGGAUGGAGUAGUUUUAAAGGAUUUUUUUUUUCUGAGGGCCAGCGCCCACAGCAUAUGGAGGUUCCCAGGCUAGGGAUCGAAUCAGAGCUGCAGCUGCCGGCCUACACCACAGCCACAGCAACACCGGAUCCUUAACCCACUGAGCAAGGCCAGGGAUUAAACACACCCUCAUGGUUCCUAGUCGGAUUCGUUUCCGCUGUGCCUCGACGGGAACUCCUGAGUGUUUUUCUUUAUAGGUUUUAUGUGUGUGUGUGUAUUACAAUAUGCACACCCUACUUAACACAAUCUACUGGUAUUGUCAUUUUCCCACUUUGAAGUGCAGAAACCUCACUUCUGUGUCAGCCCCUAUACUCUCCUCACUCUGUAAUAUAACUGAAGGAUUUCCUUUUUGUAAAUGGAAGCAACACAUAAGACCAUCAAAUGUGAUUUUAGGAGUUCCUGGUGGGCUGGAAUGGGAUCGGCAGUGUCUUGGGAGUGUUGGGAUGCAGGUUUGAUCCCUGCCCCGGCACAGUGGGUUAAGGAUCCGGUGUUGCAGCAACUGCAGCAUAGGUCACAAUUGCAGCUCGGAUCUGAUCCCUGGCUUAGGAACUCCAUAUACUGUGGCCAAAAAGGAAAACGUGAUUUUAAAAAUUCAUGAGGAUAGUCCAUUAUGUUUACCCUUAUUUUCACCCAUUUCACUUUUUUUUCUGUGUGUGUGUAUGUGUCUUUUUGUCCUUUUAGGGCUGCACCCACGGCAUAUAGAGGUUCCCAGUCGGAUUCCUUUCCACUACUCCAUGACCAGAACUCCCCACUUUUUUUUUAAAGUUCUAGCCCUCCUCCUGUUAUCGUUUCCUUUAUAAUUGUAGAACCUCCUUUAGCCAGUCUUUAAGGCCUGCUGCUGACAAAUUCUUAAUUUUUCUUCACCUGAAGGGCUUCAUCAUCUGGGGGUCUUUAUUUUCCCUUCAUUUCUGAGGAGCAUUUUUGCUAGACAGAGAAUUAAGGAUUUACAAUAUUUUUUUCUUGAAAAAUGUUCCAUCUCCUUCUGGCUUCCAUGGUUUCAGGUGAGAUAUUCACUGUUAUUUAACUGUUCCCCUACAGAGAGUGUGUCAUUUCUUUCUUCAAAUGAAUAGUCACAACUGAAUUUCUAGUAAGUCUGUAUAGGGAAUAAGGCUAUAUUCAAAAUUUCUCCAGGACACAAACUCCUAAGACUAACCUAGAAAAGUUAGAAAGGAGAGUAAGAGGGUACAUGUCCUAUCAGAAAGCUAUGGUAAUAAAACAAUAUGAUAGGUACAGGAAUAGACAAACAGAUCAGGGGGGCAAAACAGAGGAUUCUGAAAGAGACCCAGAUAUAAAGGGAUUUAGUAUUAGAAGAGUGUAGGGUAUAUUUUAUUUUUUUUAAAUUUUUGUCUUAUUAGGGCCGCACUUACAGCACAUGUAAGUUCCCAGGCAAGGGAUCGAAUUGGAGCUGUAGCUGCAGGCCUAUACCACAACCACAGCAACUUCAGAUCUGAGCCAAGUCCGAGAACUACACUGCAGCUCACAGCAAUGCCAGAUCCUUAACCCACUGAGCAAGGCCAGGGAUCGAAUCCCCAUCCUCAUGUAUACUAGUUGGGUUCCUUACCAUUGAGCCACAAUGGGAAGUCCCUAAGGUAUAUUUUAAAACUUGGAAUCCCUAGCCUGGGAACCUCCAUAUACCACGGGUACGGCCCUAAAAAGACAAAAA
rnacentral:tRNA from 1 species